UGAUGUCCCAGCUGUUUCAGUGCAGGGCAGGGGUGCAGUAGUGCUGCUACUCCUGCCUGCUUAAGGCAAUGCUGGCAGCGGCCUGGCCUCCCCAUAGUGCUGCUGCAGUGACUGAAGGUGAGGAAACAAAUAAUAGGUUAAAGGGGGGAGAAAAACCCCAAGCUGGAAACUUUUGAGCUGGACUUGUGCGUGGAGCCGCAGCCCCUUCGCCGCUAGAUGUCGCUGUGAGGCAGGAUUUCCAGGAGUUUUCAUUUUGUGCCAGCAUGGCCGAAUAUGUCGCCCACCCCUCUUCGGCCUGGCACUCAGGCAGGCAGCCCCCUCACACCUCUGCCCUCUGCCCUUUGGAGCUCAUGGAUCUGGGAGUUACUGAGCAGGCACCGCCGUUGGAGCAGCCUCCGCCAUCCCUGGAGCUGGGAGACGAGGAGGAUAUUGACUCGCCGCUGGACCCUGACGUGCCCUAUCCCGACUUGGCGCCUGUGGUGUUCUUUUGCUUGAAACAGACCACCAGCCCCCGCAACUGGUGCAUCAAAAUGAGCAGCUCACCUGUUGCAAUAUGUGAUCAAAAGGAGCUGCUUACCAAAGGGAGAAUUUCAGAGAAAGCGAGUGUCAGCCGGAAUGACACGGACAGGGGCAGGGAGAAGAGAGGGGACAGACUUUUCAAAUGUAUUCCCGCACCUUCCUGUUACUGAGUCAGUGACAGUGGGAUGGUUUGAAGGCGCAGGGAAAGGGGAAUUCCCAGCUCCUGCUGGCUUAUAACUAGGUCUUUAUUUCAAUGAGGGAUAUUUAUUCAUCUAACCGUACUGUACAUACCAUGAACUCAGCCUCUACUUGGAGAUAGAGCUGCUUCAUGCUGUUCAUGCUUCUCAGUUGGGGGGCCACCAGAAUGACCCUCAUCCUGCUAGCUAGUGAGCAUAAACUAGCUGCUGAGUAUCUUCUCCUGGGGAUAUCUCCUCUCUCGAUUCCACCAGGAUCAAAGAUGAGCCUACUCCAGAGAAUCCAUUGCAGGUUUGACUCUGGUGCAUCCUGGGACAGGACUUUGGGAGUUUAGUGAGUAUUGUGAGGAUACCUCUGUAAUGUAGAUAUGAUCUGCAAAUCUCAACAUCACACCCCUCACUACUGAAUCUCACAGCCUUGAUUUAAGGAGCGGAUAGUAACAGAACAAUAAGCAACAGGUAGUCUCAAUUAACUUCCCCAGGAAAUAACUUCCUCCAUUGUGGAGUGAUUGACCUUUCCCCCGACUUUCCAUAUGGGCACAGUAUGUAAAAGGGGGUUUAUUAGAUCUGGGGACCUUUGAAAGAUCCAGGAAUUUGAGGAGAUGAAACAGCAUACAAAAAGCUGAAGCUUUAUU